CGUAGGGUGCGAGCGUUGUCCGGAAUUAUUGGGCGUAAAGAGCUUGUAGGCGGUUUGUCGCGUCUGCUGUGAAAAUCCGGGGCUCAACCCCGGACUUGCAGUGGGUACGGGCAGACUAGAGUGUGGUAGGGGAGACUGGAAUUCCUGGUGUAGCGGUGAAAUGCGCAGAUAUCAGGAGGAACACCGAUGGCGAAGGCAGGUCUCUGGGCCACUACUGACGCUGAGAAGCGAAAGCAUGGGGAGCGAACAGGA
rnacentral:rRNA from 1 species